rnacentral:rRNA from 1 species
CUUUAUCACCGAGUGCUUGCACUCACCGAUAAAGAGUUGAGUGGCGAACGGGUGAGUAACACGUGGGCAACCUGCCCAAAAGAGGGGGAUAACACUUGGAAACAGGUGCUAAUACCGCAUAACCAUAGUUACCGCAUGGUAACUAUGUAAAAGGUGGCUAUGCUACCGCUUUUGGAUGGGCCCGCGGCGCAUUAGCUAGUUGGUGGGGUAAAGGCUUACCAAGGCAAUGAUGCGUAGCCGAACUGAGAGGUUGAUCGGCCACAUUGGGACUGAGACACGGCCCAAACUCCUACGGGAGGCAGCAGUAGGGAAUCUUCCACAAUGGGCGAAAGCCUGAUGGAGCAACGCCGCGUGGGUGAAGAAGGUCUUCGGAUCGUAAAACCCUGUUGUUAGAGAAGAAAGUGCGUGAGAGUAACUGUUCACGUUUCGACGGUAUCUAACCAGAAAGCCACGGCUAACUACGUGCCAGCAGCCGCGGUAAUACGUAGGUGGCAAGCGUUAUCCGGAUUUAUUGGGCGUAAAGGGAACGCAGGCGGUCUUUUAAGUCUGAUGUGAAAGCCUUCGGCUUAACCGGAGUAGUGCAUUGGAAACUGGGAGACUUGAGUGCAGAAGAGGAGAGUGGAACUCCAUGUGUAGCGGUGAAAUGCGUAGAUAUAUGGAAGAACACCAGUGGCGAAAGCGGCUCUCUGGUCUGUAACUGACGCUGAGGU